CUCGCUCCCAGUGUAGGGUGCGCAUCGAGAACACCGUGUGUCGGGCCCCUAAACCUGUCUGAGCUUUGCUCCCAGCUCGACCUAAUGGCAGGUCAGGACUGAACAGAAAAAAAAGGCUUCCUAUCAGGCAAUCAGAAGUAAUUGUUGCCAUGGGCACAGAGUGCAAGAGGAUCACCAAAGUGCAUCAUGGGCAUGUGCCAUACAGUAAUGGGAGUAACAAACUGUUACUGUCAGGGUUCAUUUUGGAGAGAAGAUUGGGACUGGAUUUAUUCUUCAUGGAGCCCUUAAUUUUUCCUUAUCAUCUGUUUGUUAAGGGGAGAUUUAAUACAGAUGCUCACAGUCGUGAACAGAUUAAUUUACCAUAAGUAUGGACACGUUAUCUCCAUUUCCAGAAGACAAAACCAGAUGAUGGACAUUGAAGAUAAGAAAAAAAGUAUCAGAUUGAAUGAGUGAACAAAAUAUUCCACAGUGAGCUAUAUUCUUGAAUUUACUGACUCAGGGACAUAUGUUUAAUAAUAACUUUUAAAAGGUGAAUGCUUGACUGGAAAAUAAAAAAUAAAGAUUAUAGAGAAAAGUCAUCUAACUGGGUAGAUGUUUCAAAGAAUUGGCAGCGGUGAAGUAGACUAAAUGGUUUUCCUUUGUGUCAUAUUAUUCCAUAAGUUAAUAUAAUCAGUCAUUAGAUAGUUUAAAUCCAAAUUUAUAAGUCAGCCAUAGAUUAUCUGUAUGUUAUUUGUUUUUCUUUGUGUCAAAGUGUUCAGUGCAGAGUACCUCCUGUUUACAAUAUACUAACCUUUUCUGUUCACACUCACAAAUGAGAAAAAGUGGCCAACUUGAUAACAGAACUAUUUAUCAUUUAUCCUCGGAAAAAUAAGGAUCUUUGCAUUGAAAUUUUUCAAAAAUGAAUAGCAUCAAGGGCAAUUGAAAAACAAAGAUUCACAUCACCAAGUGACCUUGUGACAUUGUUGAUAAA